rnacentral:rRNA from 1 species
UACGUAGGCAGCGAGCGUUGUUCGGAGUUACUGGGCGUAAAGAGUGCGUAGGCGGUUUUCUAAGUUUGGUGUGAAAUCUCCCGGCUUAACUGGGAGGUGCGCCGAAGACUGGAAGGCUUGAGUAUGGGAGAGGUAAGCGGAAUUCCUGGUGUAGCGGUGAAAUGCGUAGAUAUCAGGAGGAACACCUGCGGUGUAGACGGCUUACUGGACCAUCACUGACGCUGAGGCACGAAAGCGUGGGUAGCAAACAGG